rnacentral:rRNA from 1 species
UACGUAGGGGGCGAGCGUUGCUCCGGAUUUAUUGGGCGUAAAGAGCGUGUAGGCGGCCAGGUAGGUCUGCUGUGAAAACUCGAGGCUCAACCUCGAGACGUCGGCGGAAACCAUCUGGCUAGAGUCCGGAAGAGGAGAGUGGAAUUCCUGGUGUAGCGGUGAAAUGCGCAGAUAUCAGGAAGAACACCCGUGGCGAAGGCGGCUCUCUGGGACGGUACUGACGCUGAGACGCGAAAGCGUGGGGAGCGAACAGG